rnacentral:rRNA from 1 species
CUUUAUUGGAGAGUUUGAUCCUGGCUCAGGAUGAACGCUGGCGGCGUGCCUAAUACAUGCAAGUCGAGCGAAUGGAUUGAGAGCUUGCUCUCAAGAAGUUAGCGGCGGACGGGUGAGUAACACGUGGGUAACCUGCCCAUAAGACUGGGAUAACUCCGGGAAACCGGGGCUAAUACCGGAUAACAUUUUGAACCGCAUGGUUCGAAAUUGAAAGGCGGCUUCGGCUGUCACUUA